GAGUUUGAUUAUGGCUCAGAUUGAACGCUGGCGGCAGGCUUAACACAUGCAAGUCGAACGAUGAUUACUAGCUUGCUAGUAUGAUUAGUGGCGAACGGGUGAGUAAUGCUUAGGAAUCUGCCUAUUAGUGGGGGACAACAUUCCGAAAGGAAUGCUAAUACCGCAUACGUCCUACGGGAGAAAGCAGGGGAUCGCAAGACCUUGCGCUAAUAGAUGAGCCUAAGUCGGAUUAGCUAGUUGGUGGGGUAAAGGCCUACCAAGGCGACGAUCUGUAGCUGGUCUGAGAGGAUGAUCAGCCACACUGGGACUGAGACACGGCCCAGACUCCUACGGGAGGCAGCAGUGGGGAAUAUUGGACAAUGGGCGAAAGCCUGAUCCAGCCAUGCCGCGUGUGUGAAGAAGGCCUUUUGGUUGUAAAGCACUUUAAGUGGGGAGGAAAAGCUAAUAAUUAAUACCUAUAGCCCUGACNUACCCCAGANGCCU
rnacentral:rRNA from 1 species